UCGGAGCCUAAAAGGAAACCUAUUUCAUAGAUUAGGAGCAAGGAUCGAACUUUAAAAUGGUGCUAAGCGAUAGUUAGCACUGAACCAAACGAUAGAAAGCUCGGUUUACAUGGACACGAAACUUAGGAUAUCACGGGCCCAGGUGAAAGUUUCGAUAAGUCCGAGAACGUUCCGAUCGUCCCUUUCGCAGGCUCUAAGUGCAAGAAGAGUCUUCCCACUAGCCGCGAACUGUCUCCUGCCUACACAAUGCCUACACGUCUGUGCCUUCCUCUCUCCUCCGUGUCUCUGCAUUACCCGCGUGGACGAUCGAUAUCUUGGCCUACGCGCUCUUCAUCGACAAAGAACCGCUCCUCUCCUCCCCGCGCGGCAGUCCCCGGCGCCAGCCGCGGCAGGAGCGCGCUGUGGAGAGGGAAAGCGCGCGGCUCGAACACGCAGGCGCGGUCUAAUUAAUAUUCCUAAUUUGUCGCUCGCGCUGCCCGGGACAGUGCCGCCGCCGUGCUGCAGGAGGAGCAGCCUCCCGAGAACGCGCGGCGCGACGACGUUAGCGUCGGCGGCGUUCCCGCCGAAAAGAAUGUCCCGCGUCGGCGGCGUGUUUACCAGCAGGCUCCGCGGCAAGCCGACGGUCCGGAUGCGAGAAGCCGCUGCUGCCGCGUCCCGGCGAGAACAUCUGCAGACGGUGGUGCGCCAUCCAGGCGCCGACUACUGAAGGGGCGAGAUCGGGGAAGCGAGAGGAGAGAGAACGAGAGCUCCGGGUUUUGUUCCCGGCGGCUCCCGGAUUCAAAGAUGGCGCUGCGGCUGGCUUGUUUUGCAUCGGGCCGCGGGUCUCGAGCGGCGGCGGCUUCACGGACGGCUCGGAAGCGCGCGCUUGAGCGAGCGCGUGUCGGCGGCAUCUCUGGCGUCGUUCGAAAUCAGUGGUCUUCGUCGUCGCCACCGCUUCGCCGCGCAGCCGCGAAGCUGUAUACCGCUACCGUCCAAGGAAAUUUUCGUGUCGUUGGCGUGAGCUCGCACCAAUGCGUAAUAUUGCUAAAGUCUGCUUGAAGGGAUUCGAUGUCGGCAUCAUCA